GGUAGUCCACGCUGUAAACGAUGGGUACUAGGUUUGGUGGGUCUUGACCCCCGCCGAACCGGCGCUAACGCACUAAGUACCCCGCCUGGGAAGUACGGUCGCAAGACUAAAACUCAAAGGAAUUGACGGGGGCCCGCACAAGCGGUGGAUCAUGUGGUUUAAUUCGAAGCAACGCGAAGAACCUUACCUGGAUUUGACAUCUCCUGACAACCCUAGAGAUAGGGCUUCUGUAGCAAUACAGCAGGAAGACAGGUGCUGCAUGGCUGUCGUCAGCUCGUGUGGUGACAUGUUGGGUUAAG
rnacentral:rRNA from 1 species